rnacentral:rRNA from 1 species
CCUACGUGAGGCAGCAGUGAGGAAUAUUGGUCAAUGGCCGCGAGCCUGAACCAGCCAAGUAGCGUGAAGGAUGACUGCCCUACGGGUUGUAAACUUCUUUUAUAAAGGAAUAAAGUGAGGCCCGUGUGCCUUUUUGUAUGUACUUUAUGAAUAAGGAUCGGCUUACUCCGUGCCAGCAGCCGCGGUAAAACGGAGGGUGCGAGCGUUAUCCGGAUUUCUUGGGGUUAAAGGGAGCGGAGAUGGGUUGUUAAGUCAGUUGUGAAAGUUUGCGGCUCAACCGUAAAAUUGCAAUUGAUACUGGCAGUCUUGAGUACAGUUGAGGUAUGCGGAAUUCGUGGUGUAGCGGUGAAAUGCUUAGAUAUCACGAAGAACUCCGAUUGCGAAGGCAGCUUACUAACCUGCCACUGACAUUGAUGCUCGAAAGUGUGGGUAUCAAACAGGAUUAGAUACCCUUGUAGUC